rnacentral:rRNA from 1 species
UACGUAGGGUGCGAGCGUUAAUCGGAAUUACUGGGCGUAAAGCGUGCGCAGGCGGUUUUGUAAGACAGAUGUGAAAUCCCCGGGCUCAACCUGGGAACUGCAUUUGUGACUGCACGGCUAGAGUGUGUCAGAGGGGGGGUAGAAUUCCACGUGUAGCAGUGAAAUGCGUAGAGAUGUGGAGGAAUACCGAUGGCGAAGGCAGCCCCCUGGGAUAGCACUGACGCUCAUGCACGAAAGCGUGGGGGAGCAAACAGG